AUGAACGCUGGCGGCGUGCCUAAUACAUGCAAGUCGCGCGAACGGACGAGAAGCUUGCUUUUCUGAUGUUAGCGGCGGACGGGUGAGUAACACGUGGAUAACCUACCUAUAAGACUGGGAUAACUUCGGGAAACCGGAGCUAAUACCGGAUAAUAUUUUGAACCGCAUGGUUCAAAAGUGAAAGACGGUCUUGCUGUCACUUAUAGAUGGAUCCGCGCUGCAUUAGCUAGUUGGUAAGGUAACGGCUUACCAAGGCAACGAUGCAUAGCCGACCUGAGAGGGUGAUCGGCCACACUGGAGCUGAGACACGGUCCAGACUCCUACGGGAGGCAGCAGUAGGGAAUCUUCCGCAAUGGGCGAAAGCCUGACGGAGCAACGCCGCGUGAGUGAUGAAGGUCUUCGGAUCGUAAAACUCUGUUAUUAGGGAAGAACAUAUGUGUAAGUAACUGUGCACAUCUUGACGGUACCUAAUCAGAAAGCCACGGCUAACUACGUG
rnacentral:rRNA from 1 species